UAUAUACUCCCUCCGUCCCAAAAUUCUUGUCUUAAAUUUGUCUAAAUACGGAUAUAUCUAGUUACGUUUUAGUGUUAGAUACAUCCGUAUCUAGACAAAUCAAAGACAAGAAUUUUGGGACGGAGGGAGUAUAUG
rnacentral:pre_miRNA from 1 species